ACCGCUAUCACCUGGGCAGGGCACCAGGUUUAACUCCUGGAGGCUGGGACCCACACUAAGCAGACAGACUGUGUGAAGCUUCUAACUGAAGACUUUAUGAGGUGUUGGAGUUGUGUGCUGAUCUAUGUACAAUGUACUGAAUAUGCUGUCCCCAGGAUGCUCACUGAACUGCUCAUAAUUUUGAAGAUUCCUCCAUGGAGUCAUAUUUUUCUUCCUCCUGAAGUGGCUACAGCAUGCAAGGCAAAUCCCUGCCAAGUAUUUUCUUCUUUGCCCAAUUAUGUAUGAAAUGUUACAUAUAUCUCAUAAAAACAAUUCUUUUUACUGAUAAAUUCUGCCAGACAUUUGUGAGCACUCUCAUUCUCUGAGUUCUGGUUAUCUAAAUGCCCUGAACAGCCAAGGAGGCAGAGUGGGUGCAGUUUCUUCCUUUGCCAGUAAAAAGCUGAGUGCAGAA